GGAUGAACUUUUGCAAGGCUACAAAUCUAGUUAAUGGUGAAGCUAACAUUCAGACCCAAGUGGUUCAGCUCUAGACUUUGUCUCAGUUUCUGAAUUGAACUCUCUGUGCACUUACCAUGUGUCAUACCAGCUCUCAGUACAUAGUGUCCCAAAAGAUUGGGCCUGCUCUUUCUUUCAGAGACAAUUAGGAAAAAAGUAAACAAAUGGAGCAGGAUUUGGGCAUAACAGCAUGCUCCUCCCAUCCCCCAAAUCCCAGGAGUGUCACUGAGGCAGGAGAAUUGCUUGAACCCGGGAGGCAGAGGUUGCAGUGAGCCGAGAUCACACCACUGCACUCCAGCCUGUAAUGUCUUACAAUAACAGAAUGCAGGAGAGCACAUAUCAAUGAAGAAAAGACAAAAUGUAUUUAUCCAUGAAGCUGAGGUUAAGAAACCAGUGUCUUCAAGAGCCGGGGACAGCACUGGGUCUGUGCAGAGUUGAGAGAUGGUGAUGACAUGUGGUUUCCAGCAUUCCUGGCCCAGUCCAGGGACACUGUGGGUGUGCCCAGCUUAAGUCCAGUAACUGGAAAUACAAGCCCAAGUUCUGGAGAGUUUGAGCUGCAGAGAUAUAUAUGGGGACACUUUGAACCUUGACUCAUUGGCCAUAACCAGCAGAGUGGAAAAUACAAGAAGAGAAAAAAACAUUGAACUGCGAUUUUAUAACACCCUUUACUAGGCAGAGAGAAGAGGAAAGACCAGGAAAGAAAACUGUAUUACAAUGUGAAAACUUAAUGUUGAGAAAUUCAGGCAUCUUGGGGUUAGU
rnacentral:antisense_RNA from 1 species